UACGAAGGGGGCUAGCGUUGCUCGGAAUCACUGGGCGUAAAGCGCACGUAGGCGGCUUUUUAAGUCAGGGGUGAAAUCCUGGAGCUCAACUCCAGAACUGCCUUUGAUACUGAGAAGCUUGAGUCCGGGAGAGGUGAGUGGAACUGCGAGUGUAGAGGUGAAAUUCGUAGAUAUUCGCAAGAACACUAGUGGCGAAGGCGGCUCACUGGCCCGAUACUGACGCUGAGGCACGAAAGCGUGGGGAGCAAACAGG
rnacentral:rRNA from 1 species